rnacentral:rRNA from 1 species
AAACUUUCAACAACGGAUCUCUUGGUUCUCGCACCGAUGAAGAACGCAGCGAAAUGCGAUACGUAAUGUGAAUUGCAGAAUUCCGUGAAUCAUCGAAUCUUUGAACGCACAUUGCGCCCCUUGGUAUUCCAGGGGCAUGCCUGUUUGAGCGUCAUUU